GACGAACGCUGGCGGCGUGCUUAACACAUGCAAGUCGAACGGAAAGGCCCUGCUUUUGUGGGGUGCUCGAGUGGCGAACGGGUGAGUAACACGUGAGUAACCUGCCCUUGACUUUGGGAUAACUUCAGGAAACUGGGGCUAAUACCGGAUAGGAGCUCCUGCUGCAUGGUGGGGGUUGGAAAGUUUCGGCUGUUGGGGAUGGACUGGCGGCUUAUCAGCUUGUUGGUGGGGUAGUGGCUUACCAAGGCUUUGACGGGUAGCCGGCCUGGGAGGGUGACCGGGCACAUUGGGACUAAGGUACGGCCCAGACUCCAACGGGAGGCAACAGUGGGGAAUAUUGCACAAUGGGCGGAAGCCUGAUGCAGCGACGCCGCGUGCGGAAUGACGGCCUUCGGGUUAUGAACCGCUUUCGCCUGUGACGAAGCGUGAUUGACGGUAAUGAGUAAAGAAGCACCGGCUAACUACGUG
rnacentral:rRNA from 1 species